CCAAUAGCGUAUAUUAAAGUUGUUGCAGUUAAAAAGCUCGUAGUUGAAUUUCGGGAUUAGUACGUUGGUCGUGCCUUGGUACGUACUGGUGUAACUGAUUCCUCCCUUCUGACGAACCGUUAUGCCAUUAAUUUGGUGUGGCGGGAAAUCAGGACUGUUACUUUGAAAAAAUUAGAGUGUUUAAAGCAGGCCCGCGCUUGAAUACAUUAGCAUGGAAUAAUGAAAUAGGACGUUAAUCCUAUUUUGUUGGUUUCUAGGAUCGACGUAAUGAUUAAUAGGGAUAGUUGGGGGCAUUAGUAUUCAAUUGUCAGAGGUGAAAUUCUUGGAUUUAUUGAAGACUAACUACUGCGAAAGCAUUUGCCAAGGAUGUUUUCAUUAAUCAAGAACGAAAGUUAGGGGAUCGAAGACGAUCAGAUACCGUCGUAGUCUUAACCAUAAACUAUGCCGACUAGGGAUCGGAUGAUGUUAAUUUUUUAAUGACUCAUUCGGCGCCUUACG
rnacentral:misc_RNA from 1 species